UACGAAGGGGGCUAGCGUUGUUCGGAUUUACUGGGCGUAAAGCGCACGUAGGCGGGUUGUUAAGUCAGGGGUGAAAUCCUGGAGCUCAACUCCAGAACUGCCUUUGAUACUGGCAACCUAGAGGCUGGAAGAGGUUAGUGGAAUUCCCAGUGUAGAGGUGAAAUUCGUAGAUAUUCGGAGGAACACCAGUGGCGAAGGCGGCUCACUGGCUCGGUACUGACGCUGAGGUGCGAAAGCGUGGGGAGCAAACAGG
rnacentral:rRNA from 1 species